rnacentral:tRNA from 1 species
GGCGGGAUAGCUCAGUUGGCUAGAGCAUUCGGUUCAUACCCGGAGGGUCGAGGGUUCGAAUCCCCCUCCCGCUACCA